rnacentral:rRNA from 1 species
GAUGAACGCUGGCGGCGUGCUUAACACAUGCAAGUCGAACGGAAAGGCCCAAGCUUGCUUGGGUACUCGAGUGGCGAACGGGUGAGUAACACGUGGGUGAUCUGCCCUGCACUUCGGGAUAAGCCUGGGAAACUGGGUCUAAUACCGGAUAGGACCACAUUUUGGAUGGUGUGGUGGAAAGUUUUUCGGUGUGGGAUGAGCUCGCGGCCUAUCAGCUUGUUGGUGGGGCAAUGGCCUACCAAGGCGUCGACGGGUAGCCGGCCUGAGAGGGUGUACGGCCACAUUGGGACUGAGAUACGGCCCAGACUCCUACGGGAGGCAGCAGUGGGGAAUAUUGCACAAUGGGCGCAAGCCUGAUGCAGCGACGCCGCGUGGGGGAUGACGGCCUUCGGGUUGUAAACUCCUUUCGCUAGGGACGAAGCGCAAGUGACGGUACCUGGAGAAGAAGCACCGGCUAACUACGUG